rnacentral:rRNA from 1 species
GACGAACGCUGGCGGCGUGCCUAACACAUGCAAGUCGAGCGAGGGGAGUUUCUGCGGAAACAAACCUAGCGGCGGACGGGUGAGUAACACGUGGGCAACCUGCCUUAUAGUGGGGAAUAGCCUCCCGAAAGGGAGAUUAAUACCGCAUAAUAUUACACUUUCGCAUGAAGGAGUAAUUAAAGGAGCAAUUCGCUAUAAGAUGGGCCCGCGGCGCAUUAGCUAGUUGGUGAGGUAAUGGCUCACCAAGGCGACGAUGCGUAGCCGACCUGAGAGGGUGAUCGGCCACAUUGGAACUGAGACACGGUCCAGACUCCUACGGGAGGCAGCAGUGGGGAAUAUUGCACAAUGGGGGAAACCCUGAUGCAGCAACGCCGCGUGAGUGAUGAAGGCCUUCGGGUCGUAAAGCUCUUUGAUCAGGGACGAUAAUGACGGUACCUGAAAAACAAGCCACGGCUAACUACGUGCCAGCCGCCGCGGUAAGAC